AUGCAUGUUAACAUUAGAAGCCUCCUCCCUAAGUUUGUUCUAUUCACUGCUUUAGCACACUCUGCCAACCCGGAUGUUCUAGCUGUGUCUGAAUCCUGGCUUAGGAAGACCACCAAAAAUUCAGACAUUUUAAUUCCAAACUACAACAUUUUCAGACAAGAUAGAACUGCCAAAGGGGGCGGUGUUGCAAUCUACUGCAAAGAUAGCCUGCAGAGUUCUGUCCUACUAUCCAGGUCUGUACCCAAACAAUUUGAACUUCUACUUUUAAAAAUCCACCUCUCUAAAAACAAGUCUCUCACCGUUGCCGCCUGCUAUAGACCACCCUCUGCCCCCAGCUGUGCUCUGGACACCGUAUGUGAACUGAUUGCCCCCCAUCUAUCUUCAGAGCUCGUGCUGCUAGGCGACCUAAACUGGAACAUGCUUAACACCCCAGCCAUCCUACAAUCUAAACUUGAUGCCCUCAAUCUCACACAAAUUAUCAAUGAACCUACCAGGUACCUCCCCAAAGCCUUAAACAUGGGCACCCUCAUAGAUAUCAUCCUAACCAACUUCCCCUCUAAAUACACCUCUGCUGUCUUCAACCAAGAUCUCAGCGAUCACUGCCUCAUUGCCUGCAUCCGUAAUGGGUCAGCGGUCAAACGACCUCCUCUCAUCACUGUAAAACGCUCCCUGAAACACUUCAGCGAGCAGGCCUUUCUAAUCGACCUGGCCGGGGUAUCCUGGAAGGAUAUUGACCUCAUCCCGUCAGUAGAGGAUGCCUGGAUAUUUUUUUUAAAUGCCUUCCUAACCAUCUUAANNNNNNNNNNUGAUAUGCAGCUGUUCAGGGAAGCUAGAAACCAUUAUACACAGGCAGUUAGAAAAGCCAAGGCUAGCUUUUUCAAGCAGAAAUUUGCUUCUUGCAACACUAACUCAAAAAAGUUCUGGGACACUGUAAAGUCCAUGGAGAAUAAGAACACCUCCUCCCAGCUGCCCACUGCACUGAAGAUAGGAAACACUGUCACCACUGAUAAAUCCACCAUAAUUGAAAAUUUCAAUAAGCAUUUUUCUACUGCUGGCCAUGCUUUCCACCUGGCUACUCCUACCCCUGUCAACAGCACUGCACCCCCAACAGCAACUCGCCCAAGCCUUCCCCAUUUCUCCUUCUCCCAAAUCCAUUCAGCUGAUGUUCUGAAAGAGAUGCAAAAUCUGGACCCCUACAAAUCAGCCGGGCUAGACAAUCUGGACCCUUUCUUUCUAAAAUUAUCUGCCGAAAUUGUUGCCACCCCUACUACUAGCCUGUUCAACCUCUCUUUCGUGUCGUCUGAGAUUCCCAAAGAUUGGAAAGCAGCUGCGGUCAUCCCCCUCUUCAAAGGGGGGGACACUCUUGACCCAAACUGCUACAGACCUAUAUCUAUCCUAAUAUGCCUUUCUAAGGUCUUCGAAAGCCAAGUCAACAAACAGAUUACCGACCAUUUUGAAUCUCACCAUACCUUCUCUGCUAUGCAAUCUGGUUUCAGAGCUGGUCAUGGGUGCACCUCAGCCACGCUCAAGGUCCUAAACGAUAUCUUAACCGCCAUCGAUAAGAAACAUUACUGUGCAGCCGUAUUCAUUGAUCUGGCCAAGGCUUUCGACUCUGUCAAUCACCACAUCCUCAUCGGCAGACUCAACAGCCUUGGUUUCUCAAAUGAUUGCCUCGCCUGGUUCACCAACUACUUCUCUGAUAGAGUUCAGUGUGUCAAAUCGGAGGGUCUGUUGUCCGGACCUCUGGCAGUCUCUAUGGGGGUGCCACAGGGUUCAAUUCUUGGACCGACUCUCUUCUCUGUAUACAUCAAUGAGGUCGCUCUUGCUGCUGGUGAGUCUCUGAUCCACCUCUACGNNNNNNNNNNUUGUCACCAAAGCCCCAUAUACUACCCACCAUUGCGACCUGUACGCUCUCGUUGGCUGGCCCUCGCUUCAUACUCGUCGCCAAACCCACUGGCUCCAUGUCAUCUACAAGACCCUGCUAGGUAA
rnacentral:lncRNA from 13 species